rnacentral:rRNA from 1 species
CUACGUAGGGAGCGAGCGUUGUCCGGAAUUACUGGGCGUAAAGGGCGCGUAGGCGGCGCUUCAAGUCGUCUGUCAAAUGGAAGGGCUUAACCCUUUUUCGCAGACGAAACUGGAGAGCUUGAGAAGCAGAGAGGCAAACAGAAUUCCUGGUGUAGCGGUGAAAUGCGUAGAUAUCAGGAAGAAUACCAGUGGCGAAGGCGGUUUGCUGGCUGCAUACUGACGCUGAAGCGCGAAAGCCAGGGGAGCAAACGGGAUUAGAUACCCCGGUAGUCCUGGCAGUAAACGAUGUAUGCUGGGUGUGAGACUAGCGAUAGUUUCGUGCCGAAGUUAACGCGAUAAGCAUACCGCCUGGGGAGUACGGUCGCAAGAUUGAAACUCAAAUGAAUUGGCGGGG